rnacentral:rRNA from 1 species
UACGGAGGAUCCAAGCGUUAUCCGGAUUCAUUGGGUUUAAAGGGUGCGUAGGCGGAAUGAUAAGUCAGUGGUGAAAGCCUGUUGCUUAACAACAGAACUGCCAUUGAUACUGUCAAUCUUGAGUACAUUUGAUGUGGGCGGAAUGUGUCAUGUAGCGGUGAAAUGCUUAGAUAUGACACAGAACACCGAUUGCGAAGGCAGCUCACAAAACUGUAACUGACGCUGAGGCACGAAAGCGUGGGUAGCAAACAGG